GCACGAAUGACUAGACAACCUGGGAGCUGGAGUGUGCCGGCAAUUAGCCUCCCAGAAGCUGCGGUUAACCGCAGCUUAAUUGACGAAUACUGGGUGGCCACCAUUUGUAUAACGAACACGAGGUCACGGCCAUUUUAAACAUGCGAACGCACCGCGGUGUUCAACGCCUAACUCAUGGAACUAAAAACGGACACCGUUUGGCGCGAACACCGCUGAAUCCACCGACCUCCCUUCUUGUUUGGUGAAAGUGCACGAACGGCCCAGUGUUCGGUAGUUGUACCUGACUGCACU